rnacentral:misc_RNA from 1 species
AGACCCAUUUCUUGAUUUAUGAAAUCUAACAGGAAAUCAUAAAUGAGAAAGUGAUAACUUGGUUCGAGCCAAGUGGCUUCAUCCAUCAGAAGAUUCACAGAUAGUAGUUUAUUAUAUCUGGGAAAUCUAAACUCAAUAGGGAAACUUGAGAGGUACAUCCACAAAACACUGAAGUUCAAAAGUAGUUGCUCUUGUAGAAGU